GUUUUAAUAGUUUAAAAAAAAAACAAUGAUUUUGUAAAUCAAAGAUAGGUUUUUCCUUUAAAACU
rnacentral:tRNA from 1 species